rnacentral:rRNA from 1 species
UGGGGAAUAUUGCACAAUGGGCGAAAGCCUGAUGCAGCAACGCCGCGUGAGUGAUGAAGGCCUUCGGGUUGUAAAGCUCUGUCUUUUGGGACGAUAAUGACGGUACCAAAGGAGGAAGCCACGGCUAACUACGUGCCAGCAGCCGCGGUAAUACGUAGGUGGCAAGCGUUGUCCGGAUUUACUGGGCGUAAAGGAUGCGUAGGCGGAUUUUUAAGUGAGAUGUGAAAACCCUAAGCUUAACUUGGGGACUGCAUUUCAUACUGGAAAUCUAGAGUGCGGGAGAGGAGAAUGGAAUUCCUAGUGUAGCGGUGAAAUGCGUAGAGAUUAGGAAGAACACCAGUGGCGAAGGCGAUUCUCUGGACCGUAACUGACGCUGAGGCAUGAAAAGCGUGGGUAGCAAACAGGAUUAGAUACCCUGGUAGUCCACGCCGUAAACGAUGAGUACUAGGUGUAGGAGGUAUCGACCCCUUCUGUGCCGCAGUUAACACAAUAAGUACUCCGCCUGGGAAGUACGAUCGCAAGAUUAAAAACUUAA